AUUGAACGCUGGCGGCAGGCCUAACACAUGCAAGUCGAACGGUAACAGGAAGCCUCUUGCUGCCUUGCUGGUGAGUGGCGGACGGGUGAGUAAUGUCUGGGAAACUGUCUGAUGGAGGGGGAUAACUACUGGAAACGGUAGCUACUACCGAAUAACGUCGCAAGCCCAAAGAGGGGGACCUUAGGGCCUCUUGCCAUCGGAUGUGCCCAGGUGGGAGUUGCUAGUAGGUGGGGUAACGGCUCACCUAGGCGACGAUCCGUAGCUGGUCUGAGAGGAUGACCAGCCACACUGGAACUGAGCCACGGACCAGACUCCUACGGGAGGCAGCAGUCGGGAAUGUGGCACAAUGGGCGCAAGCCUGAUGCAGCCAUGCCGCGCGUAUGAAGGAGGCCUUCGGGUUGUAAAGUACUUUCAGCGGUGAGGAAGGGAGUAAAGUUAAUACCUUGCCUCAUUGACGUUACCCGCAGAAGAAGCGCCGGCUAACUCCGUG
rnacentral:rRNA from 1 species